rnacentral:rRNA from 1 species
GAGACAUCAGGUCAGGCGGGGCUACCCGCUGAAUUUAAGCAUAUCAAUAA